rnacentral:misc_RNA from 1 species
GAACUUUGUGCGUCCAAGCGAAGCCGUGUGCACUCGUGUGAAGAACUGCUUGCACAGCCUUGCCAGUGUCACAGUGAGGCGUUGUGAGAUGUGAUCAUACUAGUCUAAGGACACACCGAGAUAUACAUACCCUAACACACCCUCCUCUAUCUCUUUCUGCCUUGCCGACGUAUUCUUUCGUUUCGCUUGUUUUUGCAUGCAUGUCUUUUUCAACCCUCGCAUCUCUCAUACUGUAUUGAUUCAUUUCACGCCCGUCCUUCUCUCUGUGCCCUCGCCGACUUACGCCCCCACCCCCUGCCCCUCGGCUACGCUUGCUUGCCGUCAGCCUCGAUACAUCUCUUGCUGCUCCUAAAAGCUCGCUUUUCUCUUCCGUUCCCCUUUUGCACCUCCUCUCGCUACCAUCGCACUUCCCUCUAUCACUCUACCAUCAUCAUCAAGCCUCGCCGUCGCCACAAGCACAGAGCCAUAGCCCUUUGUCAGCCCUAUCCUCCCACCUCCUUCGUUAUUCAGUUGUUUGGAGAGGGACCCUCCACUCUCCCCAUUUCCCUCCCUCGGUGCGCGUGCGUGGUACGCCUGUGAGCUCUCUUCUUUUCGCUUUCUGCUCGACUCUUCUUUUUUGCCCCCCCCCCCCUUCGCCCUUCUCCGUGGAUAGGAAGCCACGCUCCUGUGUACAUAGCAUCUUGUUGUUGUUGCUGUUCUUGUUUUCGCUCUCCCCCGCCGUCUUCUUCGCCGAUUCUCUCUCUUCUCUUUCACUUGAACUUUCCCUUUUUCGCUGUUUCAGUUCACCUACUUUUCUCGCCUUCUUCUCUUGGUGCAUAUCUAACCGACCAAUGUCCCUCAAGGCCGAAGAUGUGAAGCAUAUCGUCGCCUGGUUCCUUGGCAUACCGCCAGUUAUCUUUUACGUAGCGCUGAUGGUCGUUUCCGGGCUUCACCAGCGGUGGAUAGCCUUCACCUUCUCCGCCGUAUCUGCGUUGGCGCUUUUUGUGUGGUUCGUACUGAACUGUGUCUCCAUCAUUUCCGCCAUUUUGUUUGCGCGGUCCAGCAUCAAUGCCGCGAAGCGUACGAUGGAGAACAACGACGGGGCGCAGCGGGGCCCUGACGCAGGGCGUGAGAAUUCUCAGACGCAUCGUUUCCCCAUCAAUGCGGAUGGGAGCCCCAACACACAGCAGUCGGAGGAUGAGGGCGUCUUGUCGAGCAUUCUCGAUUCGAGCAAGGCCAACGUCAACGCUUUUGAAAGCAGCUCCAGUACGCCGAGCAUUCAGGAGAGCAGUUCGCGAACAUCAGUAAACCCUUUGCACCCACCCUGGCAGGCUUCCCCUGCCGUGACCGUUGGGCCUCAGGGAUCAGCGCCGCCUCGUGGCGAGCUCGUCGUGGCGCCGCUGCGAGAGACGGGCAUGCUGUCGCCGCCGUCAUUCCUUGAACAUCUUUACACGAAGGACGCGGCUCCAGCCAUUUCCGCGUGCCCGCCAAAGAAGCCAAGCAACAUGCAGUCGUAUCCAACGCAAUGCCUCAACACUGACAGAGACUUCAGCGGGUCCGGCGAGCAAGAGAAGUGCACGCCGAAGGAUCACGCGCUGUCGCUCGCGGGUAGGUUGCCCACCUCCAUGCACACUCCCACAGGCGUCCGGCGCGCAUCGGCGCCCUCCACGAUCGUUUCCGUCCGCGUUGCCAACCCUUCCAAGCCGUUGCGUGCAGCUUUGAUGAUGCCUCUCGUCUCGUUGUACAUGACAAUCAUCAUCGCCAUCCUCGCGCUCACUGGCUCCAUCAUGUGCGAGUACGAUACUCAUUGCCUUUUACUGGCAUCUCCUGUACUCGGCGUGCCAUGGCUGUGGGCAAACCUGUUGCUGAUAAAGAAAGCUUUCUAUAAUACCCCGCAUAUGCGGCACAGCUUUCACUGUCGCCUGGUGAGCGUCCUCACUCACUGGUUUUUUAUGUUGAUCGUCUACGUUGCCUCAGCUGGCGUGUUCGGCGUGGCGUGCGCCUUCGAAGACAUGUAUUGGACCCCGUACAGCAUCGACGGAGAGGCAACGCCACGUGGAAUUCGUGUGGUGAGCUACUUCGCCCCGAUUUUGAUUAUGCUCAGCAUUGGCGUCUUUCUCAACAACCUCAAGGCGAUGCUCGGCAUCACGUGGGAAGUCUGCGAGAGCGAGAUGGUGGUCGACGAGGUGCCUAUGGCGACGGAUUACCAUGAAUGUCCACGAGAUCAUGUGGCGAUGCGAGUCCUCACGCCCGAGGUCAUGUCACAUGACGGCGCCGGUCGGCCGUCGCCCUCUGCAGGUAUAGGAAGCGUUUCUGGCGGCUCUUCCGCUCGCACCGUGGGUAACGUAUCGGCGGCAGAGGUGCACGCCCGCCUGCAGUCCCACAUGAUGCCCCCCAACUUUCCCCAGACGCUGCCCGAAGAGACGUGCUCGACUCUGUCGUCGAUUGUGCGGUCGCUGGCGGGGGAAGCCUUUUCAUUCCACAAAUCAACGCAGCGUCGUCUGCGAAGCUGUCCGUGAGCAAGAGUCUCCUGCGCGGCUCCCCCUCAAGCACCAAUGGAAGCUCUGACCACUACAGCAGCUCUCAACCAGCGGCCUUCAUGACCUCGGUCCCGCAGCUGAAGACGGUGACAAUGCUCUACGUGGUCUACCGUGACAUCUACGACGAUGACGAAGAUGCCGUGUCGAGUGUCUUCAAGGCCUCCAACCAGAGGGGUGGCAUGGCUGCCACCCGCAACAAGCAGCAGACGGUGUCGGUCAACUUCGAGGCCGUGAUGGAGGCGCUCGAGGACGCCAAGGGGCAAGAUAGUGCUGAUGCGAACUCCUACGUGCUCACAGCAUACGAGGAUGCGAUUUGCUUGGUGUGGGGACUCAUCCCCUUUAGCAGCGAGCCGGUGCUCUUGGCGAUCGAGAAAGCACGUAAAAUCAUGCAAGCCUUCGAGAGUCGCCCGAAGCCGCCGACAAGUUUCAGCAACGCACGGCAGGAGUUGGUCGCGGCUGUGGUGUCAGCCCCACAUUCGCUUGUGGGUCUCGUAGGCUCUGGCUCGUGUCGCGGAAUCCACUUCUUCAACCCGCGUCAGCACGAGCUGGGGGCUCAGAUGCUGCGCCGCGGCCUCGCCAUGCACCGCCGUCUCCCUUCCUUGCAGGCCUCCCUCGACGAACCAGAAAACCCAUUUCACUGCAUCUUGCUGGAUGGGCGGUCGUGGAACAGCACGGCAAGCCAAAUCCUGGCACGUCCUUGUGGUAUCAGCGGGAGCGACCGACCGAAAGCAGUCGCGAAGCAGCCGAAGCAGCGAGACCUACCGGUCAACGUCUCUUCGAAGUCGACAAAAAUGAAGUUCAUCAUUAUUUACAACUUCAUGGAGGUGUUGCAAACCAUGGAGGAGGAGUGGCAUCUCGUGGUGCAGCGGCAGGAGCACCUCGGCUCGAAGUUCAGUUUUCUCUCCGAGGCAGUGCAGCUGCUCCACCAGGGUGACCAGAGCGGCGCACAGCAGGUACUUAAGGGCGCAGUGCAGAGCAUGACCGCCAGCAGUGACGCCGACAACAUCACCCUCGCCCAGAUGCUGCUGGAAGAUUUGGAUUCCGCAGAGGGAUAAGGCUCACACAAG